rnacentral:rRNA from 1 species
GCGUGAGUGAUGAAGGCCUUAGGGUUGUAAAGCUCUUUUGCCAGGGAAGAUGAUGACUGUACCUGGAGAAUAAGCCCCGGCUAACUUCGUGCCAGCAGCCGCGGUAAUACGAAGGGGGCUAGCGUUGUUCGGAAUUACUGGGCGUAAAGGGCGCGUAGGCGGCCGUUUAAGUUAGGUGUGAAAGUCCUGGGCUCAACCUGGGGACUGCACUUAAUACUGGAUGGCUUGAAUUCGGGAGAGGAUAGCGGAAUUCCCAGUGUAGAGGUGAAAUUCGU